rnacentral:siRNA from 1 species
GAAGGCUAACUCUCUCCCACA